rnacentral:tRNA from 1 species
GCGCCCAUAGUUCAACGGAUAGAACGCGGGCCUCCGGAGCCCGAGAUCCAGGUUCGAUUCCUGGUGGGCGCA